UACGUGAAACCGUUGAAAGGGAAGCGAAUGGAGUUAGCAAUUCGCCCUGCCAGAUUCAGCAGCUCGCGCGCAGCGACGCACGCGCUCUCGAUCCGCAUGGACGAGGCGUGUGCGGGUGCGGCGUGCGGUCUGCGCACUUCUGGCGAGCGAGCGUCAGCGUCGGUUGCCGACGUGCAACAAGGACGCGGGGAAGGUGGACAGGUCCUUGCGGCCUGUUGUUAUAGCCCCGCGCUCGCAUGGCUCGACGGCGACCGAGGCUUCC
rnacentral:rRNA from 1 species